rnacentral:rRNA from 1 species
GACGAACGGCUGGCGGCGUGCCUCAAACAUGCAAGUCGAGCGGGGAACUUUUAAAAGCGCAAGCUUUUAAAAGUUCCUAGCGGCGAACGGGUGAGUAACACGUGGGCAACCUACCCAGAAGACCGGGAUAACGGCUCGAAAGGGCCGCUAAUACCGGAUAAUGUCGGGGUACCGCAUGGUACUCCGAAGAAAGGGGAAACCCGCUUUUGGAUGGGCCCGCGUCCCAUCAGCUAGUUGGUGAGGUAACGGCUCACCAAGGCGACGACGGGUAGCCGGUCUGAGAGGAUGGUCGGCCACACUGGGACUGAGACACGGCCCAGACUCCUACGGGAGGCAGCAGUUGGGAAUCUUGGGCAAUGGGCGAAAGCCUGACCCAGCGACGCCGCGUGAGGGAAGAAGGCCUUCGGGUCGUAAACCUCUGUCAUGGGGGAAGAAGCAAGUGACGGUACCCCAAGAGGAAGCCCCUGCUAACUACGUG